rnacentral:misc_RNA from 1 species
AACAUCGCGCACCUGCGGGAACCUGCGGAAGGAUCAUUACAGAGUUGCAAAACUCCCUAAACCAUUGUGAACGCUACCUAAACCGUUGCUUCGGCGGGCGGCCCGGGUCCUUCCCGGCGCCCAUCGGCCCUCGCGGGCGCCCGCCGGAGGUAAACCAAACUAUUGCAUUGUAUGGCCUCUCUGAGUCUUCUGUACUGAAUAAGUCAAAACUUUCAACAACGGAUCUCAGAUCGGAAGAGC